rnacentral:rRNA from 1 species
CCUACGGGAGGCAGCAGUGAGGAAUAUUUGUCAAUGGGCGGGAGCCUGAACCAGCCAAGCCGCGUGAGGGAAGAAGGUACAGCGUAUCGUAAACCUCUUUUGUCAGGGAACAAAGGCUGGGACUAGUCCCCGGAUGAGGGUACCUGAAGAAAAAGCAUCGGCUAACUCCGUGCCAGCAGCCGCGGUAAUACGGAGGAUGCGAGCGUUAUCCGUAUUUAUUGGGUUUAAGGGGUGCGCAGGCGGCCUGUUACGGCAGCGGUAAAAGCCCGGGGCUAAACCCCGGAGAGCCGGGGAAACUGGCGGGCUGGAGUGGGAGAGAAGUACGCGGAAUGCGUGGUGUAGCGGUGAAAUGCUGAGAUA